GCCGCCAUCGCCGCUCCCGCAGCUCCGGGGCCGAGAGGGGCCGCGGCUUCCCGGGCGCGGGGAAGGGCCCUGGGCUGGGCCAAGGCGGCGGCGGGCGGCGGCGCGGGGUCACGGCGGCGCCAUGGGGAAGCGGGAUAACCGUGUGGCUUAUAUGAAUCCCAUAGCUAUGGCCAGGGCACGAGGUCCUGCCCCAAAUUCAGGACCAACAAUACAAGACUACUUGAACAGGCCAAGACCAACGUGGGAAGAAGUGAAAGAGCAACUAGAAAAGAAAAAGAAAGGAUCCAGGGCUUUGGCUGAGUUUGAAGAAAAGAUGAAUGAGAAUUGGAGGAAAGAACUGGAAAAACACAGGGAGAAAUUACUGGGUGGAAAUGAGAGCUCCUCCAAAAAAAAAGAGAGAAAAAGAAAAAGGAAAAGAAGAAAUCUAAUAGGUUGUCUUCAUCUUCCUCUUCUUCAUCAAGCUCUGAUUCUUCCAGCAGUUCAUCUGAUUCAGAAGAUGAGGAUAAAAAGCAAGGGAAGAAAAGAAGGAAGAAGAAGUAUCGCUCCUCACGGAAAUCUUCAGCAAGCACAACUUCAGAAUCUGAGUCAGACAGCAAGGAUAGCACAAAAAAGAAGAGGUCAAAGGAAGACUGUGAAAAAGAGAAGGAAGGUAAAAAUCACCACAGGAAAAGGAAGAAAGCAGAUGGACCUUUAUCAUCAGAAUCUGUAUCUGAAUCGGAUCAGACAGAGGAGGUGCAAGCGAAAAAGAAGAAAAGCAAUGAGGAAAAAGAGAAAACAGAUAAAACAAAAAAGAGAAAGAAGCACAAGAAACAUGGUAAAAAGAAGAAAAAGAAGACUGCUGGUUCGAAUUCAGAUUCAGAAUAAUAUUUUAAAACAACCGGAGACUAUCAACAGAAGUGCAAUGACUAAAGGAAACUUAAACUGUGAAAUGACAGCAAACUUUACCAAACUGCAUGAGUUUUCCUGUGUUUUAGAAAUGUUCCUAAUCUUUCAGUAGCCAGCCAGAUGCAGCUGUGCUGGGAAAGACCAUUGUUAUUGCCUGCUGCUUAAUACACGAGGUGCUAACUUAGAACUUACCUCUAUUGCAUACGGAUGUUUCAAAUGUUGUGUUGCCAAGAAUUUCAGGACUUUCAAGACACUGAUUAUUAGUCUGCAAACCAUAACUAAAAUCUGUGGGAGAAAG